AUUGAACGCUGGCGGCAGGCCUAACACAUGCAAGUCGAGCGGAUGAAGGGAGCUUGCUCCUGGAUUCAGCGGCGGACGGGGGAGUAAUGCCUAGGAAUCUGCCUGGUAGUGGGGGAUAACGUCCGGAAACGGGCGCUAAUACCGCAUACGUCCUGAGGGAGAAAGUGGGGGAUCUUCGGACCUCACGCUAUCAGAUGAGCCUAGGUCGGAUUAGCUAGUUGGUGGGGUAAAGGCCUACCAAGGCGACGAUCCGUAGCUGGUCUGAGAGGAUGGUCAGUCACACUGGAACGGGGACAGGGUCCAUGCUCCUACGGGACGGACCAGUGGGGAAUAUUGGGCAGUGGGCGGAAGCCUUAUCCAGCCAGGCGGAGUGUGUGAAGAAGGUCUUCCGAUUGGGAAGCACUUUAAGUGGGUAGGAAGCGCAGUAAGUUAAGACCUUGCUGUUGUGACGUUACCAGCAGAAUAAGCACCGGCUAACUUCGUG
rnacentral:rRNA from 1 species